UACGUAGGAGGCAAGCGUUAUCCGGAAUGACUGGGUGUAAAGGGUGCGUAGGUGGUUUGGCAAGUUGGUAGCGUAAUCCCGGGGCUUAACUCCGGUGCUACUACCAAAACUGCUGGGCUUGAGUGCAGGAGGGGUGAAUGGAAUUCCUAGUGUAGCGGUGGAAUGCGUAGAUAUUAGGAAGAACACCAGCGGCGAAGGCGAUUCACUGGACUGUAACUGACACUGAGGCACGAAAGCGUGGGGAGCAAACAGG
rnacentral:rRNA from 1 species